UACAGAGGUCCCAAGCGUUGUUCGGAUUCAUUGGGCGUAAAGGGUGUGUAGGUGGCGCCGUAAGUCGGGUGUGAAAUCUCGGGGCUUAACUCCGAAACUGCAUUCGAUACUGCGGUGCUUGAGGACUUGGAGAGGAGACUGGAAUUCAUGGUGUAGCAGUGAAAUGCGUAGAGAUCAUGAGGAAGACCAGUGGCGAAGGCGGGUCUCUGGGCCUUACCUGACGCUGAGGCGCGAAAGCUAGGGGAGCGAACGGG
rnacentral:rRNA from 1 species